rnacentral:lncRNA from 10 species
GCCAGCCCUGUGACUUCUCCACCUUGCCGUGGAUACUCCCUCAGCUUCUCUGACUUCUGGGCAAAGCCUCUGCAGGACGUGCCACCAAGGUUAGAGGAAAAAAACACGAACACAGGUUUUGGUCAAUCCUCAUGAACUACAGCUCAUACUCAUAUUUCCUGGCUUGUUUUUAUUCUCCCCACCUUAAUUCCAUCUUCCCUUUCUGAUUGUCUACCUUGUGGAGUUCAAGCUCCCGCUUCAGACAAGAAGAUGAAAGCCAUACAAAGACUACUCAACCCAACCAUCUCCCACAGUGACAUAAGGAUCUCUACAUACAGUGUGAAAAAAAUAAGAGAAGAAAUGGAAGCCUAGAGGCAAGAUGACAGAAGAAACUGUAGUGUUAAUCCAGAUAAGACAUUGAAGAGCUAAACCAGGAUUUUGGGAAAAGAGAGGCCUGAGGAGAAGGAGAGAGAUGGAGAACAGCAUGUUGGUGGAGGAGUCAGCAUACAAAGUUUAUAGAUUAAGUUUGUCAUCCUAUAUGGACAGUUUUUGGGACUCCAAAAUAAUUAUAAAAGUAAUAUCAAAGACCACUGGUCACAGAUUACUAUGACAGAUAUAACAAUCAUGAAAAUGUUUGAAAUAUUACAAGUAUUACCAAAAUGUUACACAGAAACAAGCGAGCACAUGCUACUGGGGAAAGGGAACCUCUAGAUUUGCUUGCACCAGGGUUGCCACAAAACUUCAAUUCAUAAAAAGUGCAGUAUCUGCAAAAUGCAAUAAAGCAAAGUGCAGAAAAAUGAAGUAUGCCUGUAUUGGCGUGUAAGUAAUAGGGGGAAAAGAUUACUCCUUGCAUGAUGCCAAGAUUUCUGGCCUGGGAAGCUGGGUAUAUGGUGAUGUCAUUAAUCAAUAUAAUAAACACAGGAGGAACAAUCUCAGAGAGAGAGUGACAAGUUCCUCUUCUCACUUGCUGAGUUUGAGGUGCCUCAGUGGUAUCCAAGAAGAAAGAUAACCUGUGAUCAGCUGAAUAAAUAGUUCUGAAAUACAGAAAAUGCAUCUUGGCUAGAGAUGCAUAAAUUUGGAACUAUCACAAAGGGGACAAAUGCCUAAGGAUCAUUCAAAGAUGAAAAUUAAAGGCUAUCCAGUAAACCAAAAGAUUAUUUCUCCAGAGAUUCUGUAUAUACAAUAAUUGUCUUAUUAUACACAGCAUUACAGUUUACAAAGUACUUACAUAAAAUGAUUCAUUUGAUUCACAAAAAUCCCUCAUGGGAAAUAAUGUGCUAUAAUUCUCACAUUACAGUUAGGAAAAUUGAGGUUCAAUUUUGUUAAGAGACUCAUGAGAGGUUGCCCAUCUAAAGUUGUGGAGACAAGUCCAAAUCAUAAGUUGAAGACUUCAGAUGGAGUCUCUUUUCACUAAGUCAAAUUUCUAUUUCCAAUAUUUGGUACAAAUUCCAAGCUAGAGAGAGUAUGAAUUUUGACCUGAGUAGUAGGGCUGAAACAUGAAAAUGAGCCUAGAAUUUAUCCACGACUAGCCAAAUUUAGGGGUUUGGAGCCAUUUAGAUCAAUAUUGAAGAUACCAGCUUAGACUUUUAACCUUGUCUGCCAACACCAAACACUAAAACGGUAUCUGCAGCCAGGCUGUCUUACAGAUUAAUAGGUCAGGCUGGAAUAGAGCCAAAAUUAUCAACCUUCCAGGCUGUGUGACCUGAAAGCUUUCAGAUCUUUUCCAACAAAGCCCAUUAAAACGAUCUUAAGCCCUUGAGGCUGAAAACAAACGUGACAUUCCGCUGCAUUCAAUAACUAUUUGCUUCUGAGCAUUUGUUUGCCAUUAUUUUCUGUGGCCCCUUUGUAGGAUUUGUGUUGAGAUUUCUCAUAUUGACAGGCCAAAAUAAAUUCAUCAUAAAUUCUUUUGAUGUAUGAUUAAUUCCUUUCUGAAUAAAAUUCAAAAUAGGGUAAUAAAGAUAAGAAUAUAAACAAUAGAGAAGUUGUAUUCAAUUAACUGUAUUUUUUGUCCACAUGAAAUUGG